GAAAUGGAUCAAUUAAAGAUUGAAGAGGUCGAUCUAUACAAAGCAAUUCUCAGCGCCAUGACACUUGGUGAAAAACAAACCAAUGGAAUACUCAGUGGAUUAGUGCAAUCGCGGAUUUUAUAGCUACAAAAAAUUUUCAGUAACUGUAAAUUUACUAUACUUUGAAAAAACGCAGUAAAUGAAGGCCAAAACAAACAAACUUACCUUAUAUCGGACCGGCUUGAUGAAACAUGCCCAAAACUUCAUAGAAGUAUCAGUAUUGCCGCCUGUGAUGAGGUUACUGGAAAAUUGUUCCAUAUGCAAACAAAACCUUCGACGAGUGUUUCAAACUGCAGAGUGGAAUAUUUAAAAUUGCAAACAUUAAUGAUCGUUUUACCUCUAGUAAAUUCGUUUUUUUGUAUCAUGAAAAUAUUUUACUAAAUGAAGCAUAUUUUUUAUCAGACUAUGCAAUUGAUAACAAGUCAGUAAUUACAAUAGGCUAGUGGAAAGCCAUUUUCAAUCCAGAGUUUGAUAGAAUUGGUCAAUGGAAUAAAUUCAUACUGUCCUUUCUGAAUUGAAAGUCCGUCAGGCAAUUCUUAUCUUGUUAUUUACUUUUUUCCUGGGGGGGGGGGGGGGCUUUUUCUGUAAUCAAAUUUUUCCAAUUUAAUAGACGGAACUAAUUAUUUCUGAAAAAUUUUGAUGUUCUUUGAUGAGUUGUUCCUUACAAUCUCUUGGAGGAUGAGCUCUUAAAAUAAACAUUUCUAAAGGGGCCAAUGAUGAAAAAAUAGGGCUAUAAAGUGAUGACUUUGGCGUCUCUAUCUUUCACUAUUAGCUAAUUUAUUUUUCCUCUUUUUUUCACCCAUUUUUUGUACUGAAGCAUCCUGAUCUCUUUUUUUACUUAGUAAAUUCGAUAUUUUUAUAUUUUAGGUAGACUUCAAAAAAGCUAUUAUGUUGUUUUUACUGUGUAGGUAUCUGUGAGCAAUAAAAACUGAAUUUCAAGCUGACAUGCUUCAAUUUAUUUUUCCGGUCAGGACGAUGGAUGUCAAUGACAGCAAUCUUGCAAAAUUGUCUGAAAGCACUAAAGCCCUGCCACCUUCUCACUGUAUAGCUCUUAAUGAAAACAAUUAACAUUACUCAAGUGCUUCUAUCAACAAAAUAUCCGAAGUCUUUUUUAAUGUUUAAACAUGUUGGUAGCGGUAUUUAAAAUUUCUAUAAGGAAGAGUCACCUUUAUACCGCGCAUUACAUUUAUUUUAGUUAAAUCUGUACAUAUGCUCGAGGCCUUUCGGGAUUACCCCAUCUUCAAGAGCACUACUAAAAUUACACACUACAACAGGCACAUAAUUACAGUGAUAAAUAAUGCCUUGAGCACACAAACUACAUUACCAAAUUAAAACAUGCUACCUCAUAAUUACAAGUAAAUAAAAAGACAAGUGACGAAGUAGGUACAUAACAAAGCAAAUCAAGAUUGUUUGUACUUCGUCACUUGUCUUUUAUAUUUACUUGUAAUUGAAGACACCGCACCAAGAACAGCCUACAGGCGUAUAGGUCGUUAUUACGCCCAUCUGCUUUUCGGAUUCUAUGCACCCUGGACUAUGCUGUGGUAGCGAUAGAAUAUAGGUAGGUAACGGCUCGAGGUCGAAAAACCUUUUUUUUCCAAGUUAAGUCAGGCCUCUGGAUCAAUUGGUGCAAGAAUGACCUAUAAACGGGCCUUGGACGUAUUUCUAUCAAACGGAACUAUGUGCAUUAUGACGUGAGCCCUGUUAUACACAUAUUCUUAUGGGUCUCAGGGCUCAUGUCUUAAUGCACAUAGUUCCGUUUGAUAGAAAUACGUCCAUUUAUACUUCAUAUUGCCACCAAAAUGACUGUUGGGCGUAAUAAUGACCUAUAAACCGCUUUUUUAAAUUAAAUAUAUUAGAGUGUAAACCCAAAAUGUAUCGCAAAAUCUACCCGGCAUCCUUUAAUAGAAAGGUUAGGUCACCCAAAAACACCAAAACAGGGUAUCUGCAUUGAAAAGUCUGCGCAGUACAUCAAAACCAAAAGAGGUUGUCCCAUUUUCCAUAGGAAAUGGCCGCGAUAGCUUUUCCAUCCAUACUUUCAGGAAUCAUAACGUAUCAUUGGAGAGGCCUAAAUCCGGUGCCAUUUCUCGUCUAGCCCCGCAGGGGGAAGGGCAGGGGGUCAAAGGUCAAACGCUCCGACCGCCAUAACUUUUGAACGAAUCGUCAGAUCAACUUGAUCUUGGGCUCAAAUGAAAGCUCUUGACGAGACCUUUCAUUUGAUGUAUAGUUCCUAGUGUCUAUUUUUGGUAAUUUUUCAACGUAAAAAAAAAUCAUUUUUUGAUUUUUCAAGCCCAAAGAAUUCAGAUUUUCGGGGUUUUCUCUAAAUGGGAACGCAUGAAUCAUUACAAAAACCAAUUCAAAUGAAAGCCCUUGACUCAAGCUUUAAAACGAGCUAUCGUUGAACUUGGGAAAAUGAAUGGUUCAAAAGUUAUGACCGUUCAAAGUUGGCGUGGCGCGCUAUUUUCGAAGCGCGCGGAGUGUAUACUCGCGUGCCACCCCUCCCCUACCUUUCCCCCUGGGGCCCGCUUCAGUUGAUAACGGAUAUAGAAAGGUCCAAAGCUCCUUCCACCUAAAGAAUGACCAGUCAUUAGUGUUAAAUUCCUUUCAUUUCUAACGAAAAAAGGGAAAUAAAAAUAAAUUAUAAAUGCUAAUAAACGAUAAGACGCUGGCAUACCUACAGUAUUUUUUCGCCCCCCCCCCUCCAUGAUUUAAUAUUUGAUGUAGGUAUCCAAAUCAAGCCUCUCAUCAUUACGGUAUCUCAUUAUUCCCGUGUAGGUAAAUCUUGAUGAGAGGGAAAUAGAUCGGAGAGAGGUGAGGGAGAGAUAUUCAGUAGUAGGUAAAUGCGAGUUUCAAGUACCUACUGGUCGGCUAGUUGCCGAACCCCCGUAGAAAACCCCGAAAAACUGAAUUUCUUGGGCUUGAAACAUCAAAAAAUGAUUUUUUUACGUUGAAAAAUUACC
rnacentral:lncRNA from 1 species